AAUAAGGCUGUGCUACGGGAGGGGAUAAUCGCACACGGAGAACUUUUGGCUGCCGACACAGUUGUGGGCCAGAGUGUGGUGGGACAAUGGUGGUGAGCGUGGCAGCUGUCAUGGCGGAGUUUAAAAAGAUGAUCUUGGCAUGGAAUUAAAAAAAAAAAAAAAAAAAAAGAGGCAAGGGAGGAGGAUAAGGGCGAGGGCCAAAGAAUGGACUGAUUCAUUUGCAAAUUGGGGCCCUGGCGCAUGGGCUCCAUUCUCAGCCAGGAGUUAACAAGGUAAUCAGUUUCAGUCUCUAACCCUGCAUUGUGCUGUGCACCUCUCCGCAGAGUCGAGGUGUGAAUAAAGAGUGUACACACACACACACACACACACACACACCUGAGCAUUUGUUUACAGUGUAGUCUCUCCACCUCCUGACAUGCUCAAACUGUUACAUAAUAGAGUGUAGGGUAAGGAGAAUGACAUUGUGUAAAAAGCAGGGGAAAAGACAGACAGACAGACAAACACAGAGAGAGAGAGAGAGAGAGAGAGAGAGAGAGAGAGAGAGAGAGAGAGAGAGAGUGUGAGUGUACAGCUGUGUCCAUUCUUCUCUCAAUGUCCCUGCCCGGCCCUGGGGCCCUUCUGUGAGACCCCAGGAAGAAAGAAAAAGAAAGAAAGAAAAAAAAGGUGCACUUCAGUCUCCUCUCCUCUUUCUCUCGAUCCGCAUUUCUGUUCAGAGAAAUCUGAUCCAGUCGUAAUUGCAAAGCAAACACAAACGUGUACACGGUGCACACACAAAUCAAACACACGCAAUCACACUGAAUCACACUACGCAAAAUACCGGAAUCAAAAUACAUGCUCGAGCAAAAAGUCAUCGAACCUAUUAUUAUUACUUUCAUUCUGUAGUAAUUACAAAUAGCAAAAAGUUCGUCUUAAUCUAAUACAUCGUGGUUAUUUUAUAAAGGAAUGAGAGUCCUAUAACAGGUCAUCAUCAGUCUAUUUUCCCUCGACAGGAAAAAAAAAAAAAAAAAGGGGAGGAAAAGCUACUUUAAAAAAAACUAAGCAGCCCAAACUUUGUUGCUAAUUAAAGUCCCCGGUGCUAGCAAAAAUGUAGACUCUGUAUGAUCUCAUCAUGAAACUCGCAGCAUUUUCAGCCUGCAGUAAGGGAGAAGAGUGAAGCAGUCUAGAUAAAAUUCUCUUUAUACAUAAAGCAGACAGACAGCAGCGAAGAUUUGAACAGCCAACAUUAGCAUGUGAUUAAUCUAAAAUCGGAUCGGUCACUGAGAUUUUUGUCCUUUCUGGUGGUACUGUAUUUACUGAACGUACCCGUGCGUGUAAACGACAGGCUUUCCUGGACGGAAAUUUCAGGAAUUGGUUUUCUUUUGCGUGUAUCUCAACCGGAAGUAAUCCAGUCAGGUUUUUGCGGGUCCUGCCGCUGCGAUGGAUCUUGUUGGGAAACCAAAUGUUACAUCAGUGGUCUGGGAACAUUUUGGAUUCGUGCCUAAGGAGAGAGGUGAACCAAUACAUUUGGAUGAAGCCGUAUGUCGGCUUUGCGGGGAAAAAAACAAGCAUUUAAACAGGCGCGUUUAAAAACUACAAAUCUCAGCAGCCAUCUCCAGGCAUGUCACUCAACCGCGUUUUUUUUUAAAAUUCUAUUUAAUAUUGAGAUUUUGAACAAAUUAUUUAGGUUACCGUCCUACUGGCAUUUCUUUCAAAGUUUUAUAGGCUUGUAGUAUACUACAAUUGUAAAAGAAAUAAAGUAAUCGUCAGAGAAACUUGCGAACGCGUUUUACUCCAUCUCUUUAUUACCCUGCUUCUUCUCCUUCUCCACUUGCGUGCACUCAUAGUACCGUAUCCCACAGCGCCCUCAGGCUGUUUCUCAUUGCAACGACACGACAUAACAAGGGUGUAUUGAGUUGUUUCAUUGAUGGAAGUGCUAAAAUAAAGCCUCAAUUAAUUUUUUUUUAUAUGUAGGUUUUUAUUUAAGCCUAUAAAAUUAUAUAUAUUAUUAUUAUAUUAUACGGUGAUAUAAAUUUCGCUCAAUAUGACGUCCAAAGACCUGUCACUGCCACUGAAGCAAGCCAUAAUUAGACUAUUAGACACAGCAAAAAAACAAACAGACAAAAAAAAAAACAUUAGGUGUGAUUACCAAAUCAGCUAUUUGGUACAUUCUUAAAAAGAUAAGAAUGCACUGGUGAGAUAAGGAACACCAAUUGACCUGGAAGACCAUGGCAAAUGACUGUGGUGAAUGACCGAAAAUGUCUUUCCCUGGUGAAGAAGAAUCCCUUCAUUACCGCUGGCCAGAUCAAGAACACCCUCCAGGAGGUAGGCAUAUCUGUAUCAAAGUCAAAAAUCAAGAGAAGACUUCACCAGAGUAAAUACAGACUGUUUACCACAAGAUAGAAACCACUGGUAAGCCUCAAAACUAGGAAGACCAGAUUAGAGCUUGUCAAAAAAAAACAUUUACAAAGCCUGUACAGUUCUGGAACAACAUUCUAUGGACAACCGAGACAGAUAUUAACUUGUACCGGAAUGAUUAAGCAUUACGUACACGUAUGGGCUGCCAAUGGAACUGGUUUCCUUCCACUUAUCGAUGAUGAUGAAUUCUGAACUGCAUAAGACUAUAUUAUCUGCUCAGAUUCAGCCAAAUGCUUCACAGUCGCUUCACAGUCCAGACGGACAAUGACCUCAAGCAUACUUCGAAAGCAGCCCACAGAUUGUUUAAGGCAAAGAAGUGGAAUGUUCUGCAAUGUCCAAGUCAAUCACCUGACCUGAAUCCAAUUGAACAUAGAUUUCAUUGCUGAAGGCUAGACUGAAGGCAAAACUCCCCAAGAAGCAGCAGGAACUGAAGACAGCUGCAGAGCAUCACCAGGGAAGAAAAAGCCCGGAGAAUACAGGUGAGGUAGACAAAGAAGUAUACACAUAUAUGAGAAGACUUGACCACCAAACGCCAACAAAUGAGAACAAGAGAACAAGAAAACGAGGAGUCGGAAAAGAGUUGACAGUAAACAAGUUGCCAUUUCAGCCUGGUUGCGAAUAUGACGAAGGAAAGCUCAACAAUCCCACAUUUCUCUCUACAUAUUUUGUUAAGAUCUGAAUCGUUUGGAUUUCGCACCUCAGUGAUCUGCAUGUGUGUUGAGCUCUUUGAAUGUUGUUCACAUCGCUGGCCAGUGAGCGAGAGCUGGACUGUUUGCCAUUUGAAUAAUCAAUAUGACAGCCUUCUUGUUGCCAUUUUGAUUCUGAGUUGCUUCUGUACAGAGGUGUGUGUGUGUGUGUGUGGUGUGUGUGUGCACGUAGUCAUGGCCCUGUUUAACCUUAACUAGAUUAGGGUGAUUAUCCGGGCUCUCAGCCGCCACUGUACAGACGGGAUAAGUGUUCACAAAGCCCCCUCUGUGCAGCGAUCGGCCAAUCUGUGAUUCUUAUUCAUAUCUAAGCCAGCCGGCGCUCUCCUUUCUCCCUCUAACCGCCAUGCUAAGUGACAGAAAGUCCCUCUUUCUCUCAAGCCGAGGAGGAAGAAAGGAGAAAAUUAAUCCAAUAUGGCCUCGAGCGUUCUGUGGUGCUGUGUGGUUUCUUGUCCUGGGGCUUGCUCGGAGAAAGUGCACUUGUGUAUAUGUGUGUGUGUGUGUGUGUGUUUCAAGAAAAGCAAACUCGGAGAAAAUUCAAACAAGCACAGUCCAACAAAUAAAGCAAAAGACGAUCGUUUGAGGAAAAAAAAGCUCUUCGUUAGACACUUUUACAAGCCAGCGUCUGCAUCCGCUCCUGUUACAUUCUCAGAAAGGAAGAAAUACGACGCACUCUAAACAGUAGCACAAUGGGGAAAAUCAUGCCGUUAUGGGUCAAGAGCUUCAGUUAAUGUUCACACCGAACGUCAGAACGAGGAAAAAUUGUGAUCUCGGUGACUUCGUGACACGGCUGUUGCUGCCAGACAGGCUGGUUUGACUAUUUGAGAAACGGCUUACGUCCUGAGAUUUACACAGAAGACAGUCUGUAACGUUUAGGCAAAAUGAUGUCGAAAAGCAUCCAGCAGCUCUGGUGGCAGAAACGCCUCCGAGAGAGGUUGGACACGAAUGACCAGACAGGUUUGAGUUGACAGGAAGGCUACGGUAACUCAAAAGACCGCUUUUUACAACCGUGGUGAACAGAAAAGCAUCUCGGAACGCACCUCGAGCCUUGAGGUGGAUGUGCUGUAAGGGCAGAAAAUCUCGAGGAGAUCAGAUAGUAAUGAGGGAAAGUGGGCGGGGCUUUCAGGGUCUCAGUUAAUAUCUGAGUUCAAAACACCUCUACAACUGUCAAUCAUUCCACACUCACUCCCACCUGGUGAUUUGUUCAUCUACCUUUUUUAUUGAGGGGGAAAAAAAUUGAAGACUUUUUUAUUUUACGUAUUUUUUAAAUUGAUAACUCGUAGCAGCUCACUCUGAUCCAUUCAACUUUAGCACUAUUCUUCAUCGAUACACCGUCUUCUCUUCACUUUACGCAAACUGCAUUACACAUUUUGCAGAAAAACCACAUCGAAGGAAAAAACUCUGUGAAAGUGCUCCAUGCUCGUGUACACAGCUAGACGAUCAGGCAACUCCAUCCAACUGCAAUCCUGUUCUAAUAACAUAAUACCCCUCUGUGUAAUAUUUAAUGGCUUUUCAGCAUCGUAACAAGCCGUGGCAGGUCUGCCUGUGUCGAUUUGACACAAACGCCGGCGCGUCCUCUGGCACGUCGCCUCACUGGGGUUACCAACUCGUGUGUGUUGAUACCACACAGUCGUUGUUCCUAAUUUCAUCAGCUCAGCACUAAUUACAUCCCUAGAACAAGGUAAUUAUCCUGGACGGCGUGUUACGAACGACCACACGCACUUCAAUGUUUGUUGGGUUUCCUAAAUUUAGUAUAAAAAAAAUUUAAAAAACAGCUUGCAACAGCUGUGCAAGUCGUACAUUUAUUUCUGUCAAAAUAAUAAACCUGGCACGAACACUUCCUCGAGUUGUGAAUGUAGCACUAAUCAAGCUUUACUAUUUCAAAGCUGCUAUUGUUGUAUCGGAUGUCAACAAUCUGUCUAUGUAUGCGGAAAGUAUAUACUGUCCAACCACAAGCAGAAGGGAUCACAGUGCUGUAUGGGUUUUUUUGUUUCGUUUUUAGAGCGAGAGCUGAUUAGAAACCCCAAAAUAAUAGCAUUCACUGAAUACACGGGCACAGCUUCAGCCCUUUCAUCUUAUACAACUCCGUGACAACGGCAGACAGAUAAAGACUGAUGAGGAAAAAAUUCGAACGGCGAUGAAAAACCGGUAUGAAAAUAUGAACAAAACAAUCCGCAGGUUUGUAUGCGUAUUACUGAGUGACAAACUGCAUAAUUUAAUGAGCCACGAGGAAGGAUUUUAUUCCAGUAGUGGCCCUUCGCAAAUUAGUUAUAAACAGGAAAUGGGGCUCGCUACACAAGAUUUUGCCAAACCAGGACAAAUAUCUUAAACGAGGGAAGGCUAGCUUGUCCGGUCUGAUCAGACAGAAGAGCUACUGCUGGCUAUGAAAGAAAGGUGUCGGAUCACACAAUGCAUGGGGCUGCGUAUAUGCAGACGGGUCAGAGUGCCCAUGCUGACCCCUGUCCACCGCCGAAAGUGCCUACAAUGGGCACAUGAGCAUCAGAACUGGACCAUGGAGCAAUAGAAAAUGGUGGCCAAGUCUGAUGAAAAUAAUAAAAGUUUUUAAUAUCAUGUGGACGGCCGGGUGCGUGUGUGUCGCUUACGUGGGGAAGAGAUGGCACCAGGAUGCACUAUGGGAAGAAGACAAGCCAGCAGAGGCAGUGUGAUGUUCUGCUGGGAAACCUUAGGUCCUGGCAUUUAAUGUGGAUGCUACUUUGAUACGUACCACCUGCCUAAACGUUGCAGACCAAGUACACCCCUUCAUAGCAACGGUAUUCCCUGGCCUCUUUCAGCGGGAUAAUGCGUCCUGCCACACUGUAAAAAUUGUUCAGGAACGCUUUGAGGAACAUGACAGUAUUCAAGGUGUUGACUCGGCCUCCAAAUUCCCCACAUCUCAAUCCGAUCGAGCGUCUCUGGGAUGUUCUGGACAAACAAGUCCGAUCCAUGGAGGCUCCACCUCGCACCUUACAGGACUUAAAGGAUCUGCUGCUAACGUCUUGGUGCCAGAAACCACAGCACACCUUCAGAGGUCGUAUGGAGUCCAUGCCUCAAUGGGUCAGAGCUGUUUUGGUGGCUCAAUGCAUGUAUGGAAAAUAAAGCUUGGAAGGAAGUACUACAGAUCUUUGGUGUCUCAGGAGAUGGUUGGAACUGAAUGUGUGUUUAACUAACGGCAGUAAGCAGUGUUAGCCUGCACUGCUAGUUUGCUAACAAAACUAAUCGGAAGCCAUUAGCAUUUUCAAUCCGUUUUAAACAGCUGUAAAUAAAGUACUGUAGUAAAUCCUGUGCUGUAAACUUUAUAUUCCAGCUACAACCCUUUUUCACCGGUGGACGAUUGUACAUGCCCAGGAGCGACAAGAGUAGCGUUCAAUACACCACGACAGUAAAAGACAGACUACAAGCGGCACCGGCGACUUUCGAGUCGCUCGCUAGUGUGAACGCACUGUAAUGAAAAAAAGACAACAGAAUGUUUACAGGAUUUAUGAAAUACACAGAUGACGGACCGAUAAAGAAAAGUCAUCAAAACUUAUCGCCUCCUGACACGAUGCGAAAAAGUUAGCUUCUGGUUUUGUUCAUAAAUUAGCCCGGGAAAAUCCUCGUUACUCUUAUAAUUUCUACAAACUGCUACAGAUCACUACGAGAGGCUUUUAAUGGCCAUCAAGGAGAAAAACAAGCGUGGCUGCUGAAAGGAGGACUAAUGAAACAUUUCCUCCAUUUUUAAUUGAUUCAGUCGAUCUUCAUACACUAAAAAGCAGCCAUAAAACGACAAACGCCGCACCGUGCGAGUGUGUAUUUGUGGACGAGCACAUUUCCAUAAUGCUUGUAAAUCCAGACAGAGGCCUGUCAUGUUAGGAUCUCAUAAGCGGCUCCUCUGGAUCAUUUUCCGCCCCCAAAUCACUCUCUCAUUCCCUCUGCCCUCUCUCUUUCCACCAUAAAGCAGCCAGGCCUGAGAAAUUACCAUCGGCCACAACUCUACCUCCACGUGUAGGAUAAUGAAACAGUCGUAAAGUGGGUUGUGUGGAAGUUGGAUGUUGAUUAUGUUGUGUCAGGGAGGAAGGGGAAGGAUGUACCUGCAAAGCUAAACAGUACGGUUCAACCCAGCCCAGAUCUAAUUGGAUUGGGGGAGAUUUUUUAUUUGGCUUUGCCACAGCUCUGUCAUCAUGUUCCAGGCCUGGCUGUGUCUAUAAAAGAGUGUGUGUGUGUGUGUGUGUGUGUGUGUGUGUGUGUGUGUGGUCAGGUUCGCAAUCUAAUAAACCUACAUUUGAGACUGCAAAAGAAGAAUUGUUCAUAUGAUUAUUAACAUGUUUACCAUUUUAUGAAGUCGGCGAUGGGGAGUGUUCUGUCCUACUGACAGAGCCUCUGUGUGUGUGUGUGUGUGUGUGUGUGUGUGUGUGUGUGUGUGUGUGUGUGUGUGUGUGUGUAUGGAUUUAACUAGUCCUAAUGGCUAAACAGAUUACAGACCACGGUAAAUGGAUUGUCACAGCUCUCUAUCAACCACUCAGAGUGUCUCUUCUGCGAUUAGCACUGGCCAGACUUGAACCAUAAACACACACACGCACGCACGCACAUAAAGAGGCCAGGAUUACAGAGACAUGGCCAUGUUAGGCACCCAAACACUGUUUAUCAAAAGGACUCGUCAGUAAUCUGACUUUUACACCUCUGUCACAGAUAUGAGGCCAGGAUGAGAAGAAGGGACCUUACAAACUAUACUAUACAUCUAUGUAAGCCAUAUAACACAAAGGGGCAUGCUGUUAUAGGAAAAUAAUCAAUGAGGUGUUAUUCGUUUAUAGUGGAAUGUCUGUGAAACAAGUCCUGCUACCACUUAUGUUAGAGCAGGUACAAACCACCUCAAUUUUUCUUUCCUUCCCUUAAAUUGAGUCAAAAGUCAAAAAACGCAGCAUGUCCUGCACCCGAGACACCUGGAAGUGCGACAGCCCCCAUCCCCUGGAGGCAAACUCACCGAUCUCCUUCCAUAAAUGUUAAAUAAACAUCUCCUUACAGAACCUACACCAACAUCCAUAUCAAUGAUUGAACACCCUCUGAUAUGAUGUGUUAAAUUAUUAAGCCUGGAUGCCUUCAGAUGACAUGAAGUGUCCACCUUCAGGUCCUUCUGAAUUUGCUGUUACUACAAAAAUGUUCACCGUUACUGUGUUAUGAUUUUACCGCUGCAGUUCAGCGAUCGCCCUAUGUACUAUGAAGUCGCCAGUAACGAUUCCUACUACUGGCUGGCAUUAACAGUGGGUAGCACGACUAGAAUUCGACUUUUGAUAACAAAUCAG
ensembl:lncRNA